rnacentral:rRNA from 1 species
AUUGAACGCUGGCGGCAGGCCUAACACAUGCAAGUCGAGCGCGCGGCGGACGGGUGAGUAAUGUCUGGGAAACUGCCUGAUGGAGGGGGAUCACUACUGGAAACGGUAGCUAAUACCGCAUACCAUCAGAUGUUCCCCGAGGGGAGUAGCUCGUGGGUGGGGUAACGGCUCACCUAGGCGACCAUCCCUAGCUGUGCUGAGAGGAGGACCAGCCACACUGGGACUGAGACACGGUCCAGACUCCUACGGGAGGCAGCAGUGGGGAAUAUUGCACAAUGGGCGCAAGCCGGAUGCAGCCAUGCCGCGUGUGUGAAGAAGGCCUUCGGGUUGUAAAGUACUUUCAGCGGGGAGGCGUUACCCGCAGAAGAAGCACCGGCUAACUCCGUGCCAGCAGCCGCGGUAAUUC